CAUGGCUGUCGUCAGCUCGUGUCGUGAGAUGUGGGUUAAGUCCCGCAACGAGCGCAACCCUAUCUUAUGUUGCCAGCACGUUAUGGUGGGGACUCGUAAGAGACUGCCGGGGUCAACUCGGAGGAAGGUGGGGACGACGUCAAGUCAUCAUGCCCCUUAUGUCCAGGGCUUCACACAUGCUACAAUGGCCAGUACAGAGGGCUGCGAGACCGUGAGGUGGAGCGAAUCCCUUAAAGCUGGUCUCAGUUCGGAUCGGGGUCUGCAACUCGACCCCGUGAAGUCGGAGUCGCUAGUAAUCGCAGAUCAGCAACGCUGCGGUGAAUACGUUCCCGGGCCUU
rnacentral:rRNA from 1 species